CACGUAGGGCGCAAGCGUUGUCCGGAAUUAUUGGGCGUAAAGAGCGUGUAGGCGGUCCGGUAAGUCAGCUGUGAAAGUCAAGGGCUCAACCCUUGAAUGCCGGUUGAUACUGUCGGGCUAGAGUCCGGAAGAGGCGAGUGGAAUUCCCGGUGUAGCGGUGAAAUGCGCAGAUAUCGGGAGGAACACCAAUGGCGAAGGCAGCUCGCUGGGACGGUACUGACGCUGAGACGCGAAAGCGUGGGGAGCAAACAGG
rnacentral:rRNA from 1 species